UAUAUUAAAGCGGUGAUCAAAAACGUGACCUCGUUUUAAAAGGGACUGAGGGGAGUUGAAACCUCCUCUCCUGUUUACCGCAGCACCGCACUGCCUAACCUCUCCCAUCUGCCCAGCCUGGAGGGCACAAGAGGCAACAAAGAGAUAAACAAACAGUGCUGUGGUGACUUCCAGCUCCUUAGGGGGCCAUGCAGACCCUGUAAACUAUGCACCUGCCAUCCCUGUCAGAAAGCAUGGAUCCUGAACUGCUUUCCAAUGUUGUGAUGACUGUUAUGAACAGAACGUGGCUGAUCCUGCACUAUUUCAUGAAUUGUAAAUCUGAUGAUGACACUGUGGUGUCUGGCCUGCUGUGUGCCAUGGUCAGAAACAAUUCAAGAUUGCUGUUGGCACUCAUGGAGCAGCUGCACAUGGUGGACUGUUGGUUCUGGGCGCGACAAACAAGCACUGAGUGGUGGGAUCGUAUCAUUAUGCACGCAAGAGUUAGAGUGCUGGGACUGGCUAGACUUCCCCAGAGUUUAAAAGAGGUCCUGGCUCACCACACCACCGGAUGUUACUGUCACCUGUCUCCUAUCCUCAUCCAACUCCACUUCCUUGUCCACUAUGUCAUCCUCGGGGUUCACUCCAAUAGCAACUGUCUCAAGCCCCCCUGAAGUAUCAACAGGGCUCUUGGCAGUGGAGGUGAGGUCAGCGCUGAAGAUGGCAUGCAGAUCCUGGUACAAGCGGCAUGUUUUUGGCAAUGUCCCAGCACAACCAUCGGCCUCCCUUUCCUUCCGGUAUGCAUGCCUCAGCUCCUUGAUCUUUGCAUGGCACUGCUAUGUGUCCCUAUCAUACCCCUUCUCCUCCAAGCCACAAGCAAUCUGACCAUAGGUAUCAAAGUUCGCACAGCUAGAGCAAAGCUGUGACAGCACAGCCUCCUCUCCCCAGAGACCCAGCAGAUCCACCACCUCUGGUGUACUCCAAGCAGGAACGUGUUUGCUGCUGGGCAACGGCAUGGUCAGCUGGGCAGAUGCUAUCUGAGCUGUCCAUGCUGAGCAAACAGGAAGAGCAAUUUCAAAAAUUCCCAGGGCUUUAAAGGGAGAGGGGCCUGUAUACUUGGCUGAAGGGCAGAGUUCAAACUGGUGACCAAAGCAGUCCCAAUGGGCAUGGUGGGACACCUCCUGGAGGCUGCUUUGGGCGAUAAAAGCAACACAGUGUCUACACUGACACUGCAUUGCCCUAAGCACUAUGCCUCAUGUCGAGGUGAUUUUAUUAGGUUGCUGUAGCAGGAGAGUUAAAUUGGCAGGAGGAACAUUGCAGUGUGUACACCUCCAUAGUUGGUUCAACAUAAGCUGCCUUAUGUCACCUUAACUUUGUAAGGUAGACAAGCCCUAAUACUCAGCACUUAGUAUACUAUGUAUUAUAUGUAACUAAAAGAGAAAAUAACAGUACAGUAGCUCCACUUAAAGUCAUCCUGGUUAACGUUUCGUUAUUACACUGCUGAUCAAUUAGGGAACAUGCUCAUUUAAAGUUGUGCAAUACUCCCUGUGGUCUCAGCUUGCUGAUUAACAAGGCAGCUUACUUAAUAGUGGGUCAGUGUACUUAAAGGGGAAAUGCGCAUCGCUGUCUCUCACACACACACACAAACACAGUGUAUGUCUCUGUCUGCCAUGCUGUCUCCUUUACCUCCAUUCCUGCUGCCGUGUACAGUGCAAGGCUACAUUAACAAAGAGUUAAUCCGUAAGGGUUCAGCCAAUUGCUAGUUCAUCAUUUAGCAGUAAGGCA